rnacentral:tRNA from 1 species
UGUUCUGUGGCUUAGUUGGUUAAAGCGCCGGUCUAGCGAAUACGCAGUCGUGGGUUCGAAUCCCACCAGAACGC